CCUACGGGUGGCAGCAGUGAGGAAUAUUGGUCAAUGGGCGGGAGCCUGAACCAGCCAAGUCGCGUGAGGGAAGACGGUCCUAUGGAUUGUAAACUGCUUUAGUCGGGGAGCAAUGCCGGGCACGCGUGCCCGGAGGGAGAUUACCCACAGAUUAAGCAUCGGCUAACUCCGUGCAAGCAGCCGCGGUAUUACGGAGGAUGCGAGCUUUAUCCGGAUUUAUUGGGUUUAAAGGGUGCGUAGGGGGAUGAUUAAGUCAGUUGGGAAAGUCCGCGGCUCAACCGUGAAAUGGCCGUGGAAACGUGUCGGCUAGAGAACAGGAGCGGUAGGCGGAAUUCGUGGUGUAGCGGUGAAAUGCUUAGAUAUCACACAGAACACCGAUUGCGAAGGCAGUUUACCGGACUACAUCUGACACUGAGGCACGAAAGUGUGGGUAGCAAACAGGAUUAGAUACCCGGGUAGUC
rnacentral:rRNA from 1 species